GUCGUGGGGUUACCCCAUCGGUUCGUCACCCAUUGUUCAUUAAUUGUGAGGUCACUUGCUCACUUGGUCGCAUGCUCGCGAGGCUAGGGAUCGUAUUGUCACAUGGUCAUGAUUCAUAAAGUGUCAUGAUUAUGUUGUCAUCCAUUAAAUACUUGCUCGGUCUGCUAGUCACAAGGUCGCGAAUAGUUGUAUCAUUUAUUUUAUUUAUCGGUGAUUGACCCCGACCUACACUGUCCUUUCCACCCUGUAGAUGGUUACAAUGACGCAGUGGACGAGGCCUCCUCUUAGCCAACCCUCUUAUACUGAUCGGCUUCUUCCCCCUCCCUCCGGUGAUGGAUUCUUUUCUUGGCCUCCCUUCUCCUCUUCGCAAUUGUAUCCUCGCCCACCACGACAAACGAUCGCGUCUCAGCUACCCGUGUGAUCGCUGAACUGAACCGAUCAAGGAGGCCAUGGGCGUCCUUGGUUUGAUUACUCAGGGCCCGAGGUGAUCGCUAGUAUGAACCACCAAGCUCCCUGGUUUGAUUACUUUGGGCUUCAGCUGUUAAGGAUUAGGUAGAUUGAUUAUGUCUGUUUGUUGUGAUUGUUGGUGGAAUCUUGCACUUGGAUACCGGUCUAGGAUACCUUGACUAUCUACUUUAUUCUAGACUAGAAUUUCAUCGUGGAUUUAAGAUGUCCUCAUUCCCGAUUACUAUUAAGGUCCACGAUGAAAUACUGUUAGCGGAUAGUGAUUGGAAUCGACGGUUUCGAGAUAGCAAACUACAAGUGUAUCUGUUUUUCUUUGAUAUUUCUCCUAUCUUUCCUUUGUAGUUUGCCUGACGAAUUAACCGUUUGUUUUCGCUCUUGUAAAUUAUGAUCGGGUAUUUUACCUGCUGUGCAUUAAUAAAGGGUCCACUUAUGUGUUUGAGGGAAAAAAAA